rnacentral:rRNA from 1 species
GAAAAGAAACUNACCAGGAUGUCCUUAGUAACCGCCAGUGAACAGGGAAGAGCCCAGCAUCCAAGCCUGUGGUCAUUUGGCCCCUAGGCAAUGCUGUGUUCAGGUUAGCUCGCGAAGAUGCUGCUCCACCCUAAGUCCUAUAAUGAGUAAGGUUACUCGGUCAUGGCCCAAUGAGGGUGAAAGGCCCGUGGGGGUGGAGCUUCAGAAUGGCCAGUAUCUUCCUGAGCAGACCUUGGAGUCGGGUUGUUUGUGAAUGCAGCCCAAAGCGGGUGGUAAACUCCAUCCAAGGCUAAAUACUAGCACGAGUCCGAUAGCGAACAAGUACCGUGAGGGAAAGUUGAAAAGUACUUUGAAGAGAGAGUAAACAGUGCGUGAAACCGUUCAGAGGUAAACAGGUGGAGUUGAACUGCAAGCUCUGAGGAUUCAGCUGGUGAGUAUGGCAUGAGCUUGGUCAUAUUGGUUGUGUGCUCGGGUCUGCUUAGCUGCAGGUCCCCGCUUCGGUGGGGAUGCGCGAAUCAUCUCAUCCAGGUGUGUGCGCCCGGGYACUGACNGACCUGCUUGUCAGUGCACUUUNUCAGA